rnacentral:rRNA from 1 species
CGGGAUCUUGAGAGCGGCGUACGGGUGCGGAACACGUGUGCAACCUGCCUUUAUCAGAGGGAUAGCCUUUCGAAAGGAAGAUUAAUACCUCAUAAUAUAAUGAAUGGCAUCAUUUAUUAUUGAAAACUCCGGUGGAUAGAGAUGGGCACGCGCAAGAUUAGAUAGUUGGUGAGGUAACGGCUCACCAAGUCGAUGAUCUUUAGGGGGCCUGAGAGGGUGAUCCCCCACACUGGUACUGAGACACGGACCAGACUCCUACGGGAGGCAGCAGUGAGGAAUAUUGGACAAUGGGUUAGCGCCUGAUCCAGCCAUCCCGCGUGAAGGACGACGGCCCUAUGGGUUGUAAACUUCUUUUGUACAGGGAUAAACCUACCCUCGUGAGGGUAGCUGAAGGUACUGUACGAAUAAGCACCGGCUAACUCCGUGCCAGCAGCCGCGGUAAUACGGAGGGUGCAAGCGUUAUCCGGAUUUAUUGGGUUUAAAGGGUCCGUAGGCGGAUGUGUAAGUCAGUGGUGAAAUCUCACAGCUUAACUGUGAAACUGCCAUUGAUACUGCAUGUCUUGAGUAAGGUAGAAGUGGCUGGAAUAAGUAGUGUAGCGGUGAAAUGCAUAGAUAUUACUUAGAACACCAAUUGCGAAGGCAGGUCCCUAUGUCUUAACUGACGCUGAUGGACGAAAGCGUGGGGAGCGAACAGGAUUAGAUACCCUGGUAGUCCACGCCGUAAACGAUGCUAACUCGUUUUUGGGCUUUCGGGUUCAGAGACUAAGCGAAAGUGAUAAGUUAGCCACCUGGGGAGUACGUUCGCAAGAAUGAAACUCAAA